CAGGAGACUGUCAGAAGACCGGCUGCAGAUCGGCCAGGAGGUACAUGUGUUGAGCACAUUGCAAGGUGAAAUUAUUUACUAGGAAUGGAAAGAGAGUUUACCCCUCUGAAAUGUCUCCAGCCAUCAGAACAUUUAAACUGUGGACUUAUCAUUCUUAAUCAACCUCUGAACAACACUCUGUUACAUCAACUCUGGAGU